rnacentral:rRNA from 1 species
GAUAUCUGUGGUAAUCCUACAGUUAAUACGUAUCACUUUUUAACAAAGUGUUGCAUAUUACUGUGGAUAUUCGGCGAAUUUCGGUUCGUCUGGCUCGAAUACUUUUAUGCACGAAUCGCAUUUCCAUGCGAAAGUCCAUCAAAGUUUCUGACCUAUCAGGUUCCGACGGUAGGGUAUUGGCCUACCGUGCCGAUAACGGGUAACGGGGGAUUAGGGUUUGAUCCCGGAGAGGGAGCCUGAGAGAUGGCUACCACAUCUAAGGAUGGCAGCAGGCGCGUAAAUUACCUAUCCCUGACUCAGGGAGGUAGUAAACAGAAAUAAUGACGCAUGAUUUUAAUCGUGUGAUCGGAAUGAAUGGUUUCUAAACAAAACCAUGAAAUCAAUUGGAGGGCAAGUCUGGUGCCAGCAGCCGCGGUAAUACCAGCUCCAAUAGCGUAUAUUAUUGAUGUUGCAGUUGAAACGUUCGUAGUCGAUUUUAAUCGGCUGUUGGGUUUUGUUUUCUCUCGAGAUUACACACCUUUUUGAGCUGAGAGGGUAUGAAAGGUUCAUAGACGUCUGCGUCGAGUUCCUUUCAUAUGUUACUUUGAGUGAAUCGGCGUGUUCCACGCAGGCUUUUGCCUGAACGAUUUACCAUAGUAUAAUGAAGUUAUGGUGACUCCUUUUGGUUUAUCCGAAGGUGUUUUCUAUAACAAUGAGAACGGCUGAGGCAUUUGUAUUCAACUGCUAGAGUGAAAUUCUUUGAUCAGUUGAGGACAAACAAUUGCGAAAGCAUCUGCCAAGGGCGUUUCUGUCGAUCAAGAACGAAAGUUGGGUGACCGAAGAUGAUUAGAUACCGNUGUAGCCCCAACUGUAAAGUUACU